CCUACGGGAGGCAGCAGUGGGGAAUAUUGGGCAAUGGGCGCAAGCCUGACCCAGCAACGCCGCGUGAAGGAAGAAGGCUUUCGGGUUGUAAACUUCUUUUCUCAGGGACGAAGAAAGUGACGGUACCUGAGGAAUAAGCCACGGCUAACUAUGUGCCAGCAGCCGCGGUAAUACAUAGGGAGCAAGCGUUAUCCGGAUUUAUUGGGUGUAAAGGGUGCGUAGACGGGAAAUUAAGUUAGUUGCGAAAUCCCUCGGCUUAACUGAGGAACUGCAACUAAAACUGAUUUUCUUGAGUACUGGAGAGG
rnacentral:rRNA from 1 species